UGGGGAUGUGUCUAUUGCUCUUGAGCGGCCCAGGCCUACUGCUGUCAAGUCUGGGACAUUGAUGGGUGUCUUCGUGCCAUGCUUGCAAAAUAUCAUGGGGAUCAUCUACUAUAUCAGAUUUUCUUGGAUUGUUGGUAUGGCUGGGAUUGGUGAGUCAUUGUUACUCGUUGCUUUCUGUGGAUCUUGUACUUUCCUGACCACAAUAUCAUUAAGUGCUAUUGCCACCAAUGGUGCCAUGAAGGGCGGAGGGCCUUACUAUCUCAUUGGUCGUGCUUUGGGUCCAGAAGUUGGUGUCAGCAUUGGACUGUGUUUUUUCCUUGGAAAUGCAGUUGCUGGAGCAAUGUAUGUAUUGGGAGCUGUGGAAACCUUCCUAGAUGCUGUACCAGCUGCUGGAAUUCUUAGAGAAACUGUCACAAGAGUUAAUGGUACAGAUAUUGCGCCCAUUACAAGGCCAAGUUUGCACGACCUGCAAAUUUAUGGGAUUGUCGUGACUAUUCUUCUCUGCUUCAUAGUUUUUGGUGGUGUAAAAAUUAUUAAUCGUGUCGCACCGGCAUUCCUUGUACCUGUUGUAUUCUCAUUGGUGUGCAUAUUCUCUGGCAUUCUUUUGGCAAGGAAUGGUCGUCCAGCAGCUGGAAUCACGGGGUUGAGUUCGGGAUCUUUUAAGGACAAUUGGGGUCCUGCAUAUCAGAGGACUAGUA
rnacentral:misc_RNA from 1 species